rfam:Bacillus badius strain MTCC 1458 Contig27, whole genome shotgun sequence.
UUGCUUCAUAAAGCGCCUGAACUAGCGGGAGAGAGCCCGGCUAGUUGACGAGGAGGAGGUUUAUCGAAAUGUUCGGCGGAUGCCUCCCGGUUGAUUCCUGCACAAUCGUUAGUCCUUCCUUAAAUCGCAAGGGUAACCUGGCGGACAAAGGGAAUGGAAAUGCGGAAA